CCGUCCCCCGACGAGCGAACGCAUCGGAGAGUCGGGCCGCUUGAGAGUGCAGCCCGAAUGGGGUGAUAGGUCUCAUCCAAGGCUAAGUACGUGGGAGACGCCGAUAGCGAACAAGUACGGCGACGGAAAGGUGAAAAGAACCUCGAAAGGGGGGUCAAAAGCGCUCGAAAAUCGUAGAGGGGGAAGCGGACCUGACCGACGAGACCUCGUCGUCGCUCGCGCUCGACCCACGCUUCGUCGCGGAGUUCCGGAGGGCUCGCCCCCCGGAGCCGCGGCGCGGCGGGGGUCGGGAGGCGCUCGGCGGCGGGGCCGCUUGCGCGGGACCGGCGUCGCGCCGAACGAGAGGUCGCCUCGGCUCGCCCGAAAGGACGCGCCGGGGGGCCGCCCGGAGGCGCGGCGUCGGCCCGAGGGAGAAGGAGAUCGC
rnacentral:rRNA from 1 species